rnacentral:misc_RNA from 1 species
UGCCAAACCUUCGUCUGACGACACUAGUCAACACAAUCGACGGUAAAGAUCAGCCAACCUCCGUUCCCGUUAAUUUCUCUUUUCUCUCUCCUUCGUCUCUGUUAUCCCGCACCACGCGGCUUUCGCUCUCUCCAUUGCUCUCUCGUCGUACCAUUUUCUUUCUCUUUCCUCAACUUUCACUCCUCUUUCUCUCAUUCAAAAUCGUGUCAAAUUUCGCUUCCACAUCGUUUCUAUUUCGUCCCACAGAUCUUUUCGUGUCCAAAAGAAAUUCGAAGCAGAGAUUGANUCUGCUCUUUCUAUCUAUCUCUAUCUUUUUGAAUUCUCUUUCUCGUGGUUGCACAAACCCAGCUGCGGAGAGAGAUUUGGCUUCUAUUUUGUUUUUCAUUCAGUAUUAAGCUUUCUUUUCAUGCAUCAUUUCUUGGGUUCUUGCUCAGAACAUUGAUCAAAAUAGAAUUAGCUUUCUAUAUUAAUUUCGUCGUUUCCCUCUUAAAGAUAUCCCACAGUUGAAGUAACUCUGCCGCUUGAAAUGGAUAGUUCAGAGACAUAAACAGAUUCUGUGGAUAUUCUGGGUGUUGGAUAGCAAUCUAAGCUUUUGAAUUUCUGUUUAUAACAUAAUAAUAAUAAUUAUUAUUAUUAUUUG